CGUGUAGGCGGUCAGGUAAGUGAAAUGUGAAAUGCCUCGGCUCACCCGAGGACCGGCAUCUCAUACUGCCUGACUUGAGUACGGGAGAGGAUGUGGGAAUUCCUGGUGUAGCGGUGAAAUGCGUAGAUAUCAGGAGGGACACCGGUGGCGAAGGCGCACAUCUGGCCCGAUACUGACGCUGAGGCGCGAAAGCUAGGGGAGCAAACGGGAUUAGAUACCCCGGUAGUCCUAGCCGUAAACGGUGAUCACUAGGUGUUGGAGGCAUUGACCCCUCCAGUGCCGCAGCUAACGCAUUAAGUGAUCCGCCUGGGGAGUACGGCCGCAAGGUUGAA
rnacentral:rRNA from 1 species